GGAGUCUGGGCCGUGUCUCAGUCCCAGUGUGGCUGAUCAUCCUCUCAGAUCAGCUAUGGAUCGUCGCCUUGGUCAGCCGUUACCCAACCAACUAGCUAAUCCAAUAUGGGCCACUCAAUCGGCGAUAAAUCUUUCCCCCGUAGGGCUUAUGCGGUAUUGCUCUUCGUUUCCAAAGAAUAUUCCCCACCAAAAGACAUGUUCCCAUAUAUUACUCACCCGUGCGCUACUGCUGUAUUGCUACAGCCGUUCAACUUGCAUGUUUUAGGCCUGCCGCCAGCGUCGUU
rnacentral:rRNA from 1 species